AGCAUCAGGAGAGUUUGAAAUGUAAACCACAUUCCUAUGUGACGAUGAAAGAAAAAUCACUUGGAAGGAGACAAGGAGGAACUGAAGUUACUCACUCAAACCAGUCAGGCUGACGAAUUGCUUUUGCUGUCUCUAUUCAUCCACAUAAUGGCUUUCCCUUUCCCUGGCCAGUUUAUAGAAGAAUAAUUAUCUCUUUCAGAUCAGCUGCCUUGGCUUCGUCAUAAAUCAGUUCCUUCCUCUCCUCUUGCCCUCCCACUGCCUCCUUCCCCAUUUUUAUUAGCACAUCCUUCGCAUAAGCCUUUUGAAGUCCAGCUUUCCACUGACUACAUGAAUCUGAUGACUGAAGCCUCCUGUGAACUCACCAUUUUUGCCACAAAGUCCUGCUUUUCCUGCUAUAGCUGAACAAGUCCAUGUGUGUACUUGUGACAAGUUGUGACAGAGCUCAGAGGAGAACAAGCCAGCCAUGUGACAUAAAGGACAACAUGAGAUGAGUGAAGCUGAGCCUAGUUGACUGUGCAAGGGGAACUCCUGGCUUUUUCAGAGCUCCACACGUCUCACACUGCAAAAAAGCCUGCAAAGGAUUUGUGUAGUCUCAUUAAAGAUACAGAGGUCAUUGCAGAAUGAAGUGUGUGAGAGCAGCCAUCCCAGAGGUAUCAGCAUUCGAGUGUUUCCUGAAAUACAUACGGUAAAUAAGAGAUUUUUCUCAUACCUCCCUGCCUAACAAAACUGGAUUGAGCAAGAACUCUUAGGGGUCCCUGGUGAAAAUAAUGCUGGAUGUACUUGGCAGAAAAUUUCAGAUACUACUCUAGUAGUUAUUUAAAAUCCAACAGGCCAAAUGGCCUCAACAGUGGCAGGGUUUUUUUUUUUUUAUUUAUACAUUCUGGUCCUCAGAAAUGUAAUAAAAUAAGCUUGACAUUCU